AACGAACGCUGGCGGCAGGCCUAACACAUGCAAGUCGAACGCUCCAGCAAUGGAGAGUGGCAGACGGGUGAGUAACGCGUGGGAACCUUCCCUAUGGUUCGGAAUAGCCCAGGGAAACUUGGGGUAAUACCGAAUAAGCCCUUCGGGGGAAAGAUUUAUCGCCAUUGGAUGGGCCCGCGUCGGAUUAGCUAGUUGGUGGGGUAACGGCCUACCAAGGCGACGCUCCGUAGCUGGUCUGAGAGGAUGAUCAGCCACACUGGGACUGAGACACGGCCCAGACUCCUACGGGAGGCAGCAGUGGGGAAUAUUGGACAAUGGGCGCAAGCCUGAUCCAGCCAUGCCGCGUGAGUGACGAAGGCCUUAGGGUUGUAUAGCUCUUUUGGCGGGGAAGAUAAUGACGGUACCCGCAGAAUAAGCUCCGGCUAACUUCGUGCCAGCAGCCGCAGUAAGAC
rnacentral:rRNA from 1 species